rnacentral:rRNA from 1 species
CCUACGGGAGGCAGCAGGUCAGGAUCUUGCGCAAUGGGGGAAACCCUGACGCAGCGACGCCGCGUGGGUGAUGAAGGCCUUCGGGUCGUAAAGCCCUGUCGGGGUGGGAAGAAAAUUACUGGUUCAAAUAGGACCAGUGACUGACGGUACCAUCCAGAGGAAGCACCGGCCAACUCUGUGCCAGCAGCCGCGGUAAUACAGAGGGUGCAAGCGUUGUUCGGAAUUACUGGGCGUAAAGCGCGUGUAGGCGGGCGGGUAAGUCAGAUGUGAAAGCCCUCAGCUCAACCGAGGAAUGGCAUUUGAAACUGCUCGGCUAGAGGGCGGGAGAGGAGAGUGGAAUUCCCGGUGUAGAGGUGAAAUUCGUAGAUAUCGGGAGGAACGCCAGUGGCGAAGGCGGCUCUCGGGCCCGUUUCUGACGCUGAGACGCGAAAGCGGGGGGAGCAAACAGGAU